CCUACGGGAGGCAGCAGUGGGGGAUAUUGCACAAUGGGGGGAACCCUGAUGCAGCGAUGCCGCGUGGGUGAAGAAGGAUUUCGGAUUGUAAAGUCCUUUUAUCAGGGAAGAAAAUGACAGUACCUGACGAAAAAGCUCCGGCUAACUACGCGCCAGCAGCCGCGGUAAUACGUAGGGGGCGAGCGUUGUCCGGAUUUACUGGGUGUAAAGGGAGCGUAGGCGGGUCGGCAAGUCCGGUGGGAAAGCUCGGGGCCCAACCCUAAGACUGCUUUUGAAACUGCUGAACUUGAGUGCAGUAGGGGCAGGCGGAAUUCCUGGUGUAGCGGUGAAAUGCGUAGAUAUCAGGAGGAACACCGGCGGCGAAGGCGGCCUGCUGGACUGAAACUGACGCUGAGGCUCGAAAGCGUGGGGAGCAAACAGGAUUAGAUACCCGAGUAGUC
rnacentral:rRNA from 1 species